GGGGAAUUUUCCGCAAUGGGCGAAAGCCUGACGGAGCAAUACCGCGUGAGGGAGGACGGCUUUUGGGUUGUAAACCUCUUUUAUCAGGGAAGAAACAAAUGACGGUACCUGAUGAAUCAGCAUCGGCUAACUCCGUGCCAGCAGCCGCGGUAAUACGGAGGAUGCAAGCGUUAUCCGGAAUUAUUGGGCGUAAAGCGUCCGUAGGUGGUUGUUCAAGUCUGCUGUCAAAGCGUGGAGCUUAACUCCAUACCGGCAGUGGAAACUGGGCGACUAGAGUGCGAUAGGGGUAACGGGAAUUCCCAGUGUAGCGGUGAAAUGCGUAGAGAUUGGGAAGAACACCAGCGGCGAAAGCGCGUUACUGGGUCUGCACUGACACUGAGGGACGAAAGCUAGGGGAGCGAAAGGGAUUAGAUACCCCUGUAGUCCUAGCCGUAAACGAUGGAUACUAGGUGUGGUUCGUAUCGACCCGAGCCGUGCCGGAGCUAACGCGUUAAGUAUCCCGCCUGGGGAGUACGCACGCAAGUGUGAAACUCAAAGGAAUUGACGGGGGCCCGCACAAGCGGUGGAGUAUGUGGUUUAAUUCGAUGCAACGCGAAGARCCUUACCAAGGCUUGACAUGUCGCGAACCUUCUUGAAAGGGAAGGGUGCCUUCGGGAGCGCGAACACAGGUGGUGCAUGKCUGUCGUCAGCUCGUGUCGUGAGAUGUUGGGUUAAGUCCCGCAACGAGCGCAACCCACGUUUUUAGUUGCCAGCAUUCAGUUGGGCACUCUAGAGAGACUGCCGGUGACAAACCGGAGGAAGGUGUGGAUGACGUCAAGUCAGCAUGCCCCAUACGCCUUGGGCUACACACGUACUACAAUGCUACGGACAGAGGGACGCCAGCCCGCGAGGGUGAGCAAAUCUCGUAAACCGUGGCUCAGUUCAGAUUGCAGGCUGCAACUCGCCUGCAUGAAGGCGGAAUCGCUAGUAAUCGCCGGUCAGCAUACGGCGGUGAAUACGUUCCCGGGCCUUGUACACACCGCCCGUCACACCAUGGGAGUUGGUCAUGCCCGAAGUCGUUACUCCAACCAYUCGUGGAGGGGGACGCCGAAGGUGGGGCUGAUGACUGGGGUGAAGUCGUAACAAGGUAGCCGUACCGGAAGGUGUGGCUGGAUCACCUCCU
rnacentral:rRNA from 1 species